rnacentral:rRNA from 1 species
GGGGUGACGGCGUGCCUUUUGCAUAAUGAGCCUACGAGUUACCGUUGCUAGCGAGGUUAAGUGAUUCAGUCACGGAGCCGUAGCGAAAGCGAGUCUGAAUAGGGCGCUAUAGUUAGUAGUGGUAGACGCGAAACCGUGUGAUCUACCCAUGGGCAGGGUGAAGCUGUGGUAACACAUAGUGGAGGCCCGAACCGGUUGACGUUGAAAAGUCUUCGGAUGACCUGUGGGUAGGGGUGAAAGGCCAAUCAAACUCGGAAAUAGCUCGUACUCCCCGAAAUGCAUUUAGGUGCAGCGUUGUAAUAGUUUUAUAGAGGUAGAGCUACUGAUUGGAUGCGGGGGCUUCACCGCCUACCAAUUCCUGACAAACUCCGAAUGCUAUAAAAUGUUUUACAGCAGUGAGGGCAUGGGUGCUAAGGUCCAUGUCCGAGAGGGAAAGAACCCGGACCAUCAGCUAAGGUCCCCAAGUGUAUACUAAGUUGAAUAAACGCGGUUUGAUUGCUUAGACAGCUAGGAUGUUGGCUUGGAAGCAGCCAUUCAUUUAAAGAGUGCGUAACAGCUCACUAGUCGAGCGAUCGAGCAUGGAUAAUAAUCGGGCAUAAGUAUACCACCGAAGCUAUGGACUUUAUAAAAGUGGUAGGGGAGCAUUCUAUGGGCGUUGAAGGUGAACUGCGAGGUUUGCUGGAGCGCAUAGAAAAGAAAAUGUAGGCAUAAGUAACGAUAAUGCGGGCGAGAAACCCGCACGCCGAAAAACCAAGGUUUCCUCAGCUAUGCUAAUCAGCUGAGGGUUAGUCAGGGCCUAACGCGAACCCGAAGGGGGUAGUGGAUGGACAACAGGUUAAUAUUCCUGUACCUGCAUAACGACAAAAGUGACGGAGGCGAAUAGUUGGUGCGCACUGACGGAAUAGUGCGUUGAAGGGAGUGGUAACACCCCGAUAGUACACUAAGGCUACGGCUGCGGUGAUAAUCCAGCGAAUCGACUUCCAAGAAAAGCGAGUUAUGCAGCCUGUACCGUAAACCGACACAGGUGGUUGGGAUGAGUAUUCUAAGGCGCUCGAGAGAUUCAUGGCUAAGGAACUAGGCAAAAUAGACCUGUAACUUCGGGAGAAAGGUCGCCUAUCGCAAGAUAGGCCGCAGUGAAAAGGUCCAGGCGACUGUUUAUCAAAAACACAGGGCUCUGCUAAAUCGAAAGAUGAUGUAUAGGGCCUGACACCUGCCCGGUGCUGGAAGGUUAAGGGGAGAUGUUAGCUUCGGCGAAGCAUUGAACUGAAGCCCCAGUAAACGGCGGCCGUAACUAUAACGGUCCUAAGGUAGCGAAAUUCCUUGUCGGGUAAGUUCCGACCUGCACGAAUGGUGUAACGAUCUGGACACUGUCUCGGCCAUGAGCUCGGUGAAAUUGUAGUAUCGGUGAAGAUGCCGAUUACCCGCAGUGGGACGAAAAGACCCCGUGCACCUUUACUAUAGCUUCGUAUUGACUUUGGAUAAGUGAUGUGUAGGAUAGGUGGGAGACUUUGAAGCGGCAUCGCCAGGUGUUGUGGAGUCAUUGUUGAAAUACCACCCUUUACUUAUUUGAAGCCUAACUUCUUUGUAGAAGGACAGUGCGUGGUGGGUAGUUUGACUGGGGUGGUCGCCUCCAAAAGAGUAACGGAGGCUUCUAAAGGUUCCCUCAGCACGCUUGGUAACCGUGCGUAGAGUGCAAUGGCAUAAGGGAGCUUGACUGAGAGACCUACAAGUCGAUCAGGUACGAAAGUAGAGCAUAGUGAUCCGGUGGUUCCGUAUGGAAGGGCCAUCGCUCAAAGGAUAAAAGGUACGCCGGGGAUAACAGGCUGAUCUCCCCCAAGAGCUCACAUCGACGGGGGGGUUUGGCACCUCGAUGUCGGCUCGUCACAUCCUGGGGCUGGAGAAGGUCCCAAGGGUUGGGCUGUUCGCCCAUUAAAGUGGCACGCGAGCUGGGUUCAGAACGUCGUGAGACAGUUCGGUCUCUAUCUACUGUGGGCGUUAGAAAUUUGAGUGGACCUGACUCUAGUACGAGAGGACCGAGUUGGACCAACCUCUGGUGUAGCUGUUGUUCUGCCAAGGGCAUUGCAGCGUAGCUAUGUUGGGAAGGGAUAAGCGCUGAAAGCAUAUAAGCGCGAAACCCGCCACAAGAUGAGAUUUCUUUAAAGGGUCGUGAGAGACGAUCACGUUGAUAGGCUACAGGUGUAAAGGCAGUAAUGUCAUAGCCGAGUAGUACUAAUAACCCGUAGGCUUAUGUACAU